CAUGAAGAUCCUUUUCAGGAUGCUAUCCUCAGCAGAUCCCCUAGGGGUGGUCGCUAAACUAUUCACAAGCCGUUGAGGCUGCCCUGUAUCCAGUGGUAGCAAUUACUACCUCCAGGUGCGCUGAGUCCAGAAUGUCCUGCCUGCCCACCCAAGACUGCUCCUCUGGACCAUAACCCUUCAAGUUCACCAGAUGUCUUCCACCUCUCCUUCUUCUCCUUCGGCCCUGUUUCUGUGGGGAUGGAUUCUUCAGUACCCUGGGGUGAAGACAGGACAAAAGGAAAUGUACAAAAGAGGGAGAAACAAAACAGUCCAUUUCAAGGCUUCAGACAAAAGAUGUGGAAGAGGAAUUGUGGAAAAGUGGAAAAGACCCCUAUGAGCUAAUUGUGAUGGCGGCAGAGCCAGCUGCCCAACGGGACCUGAGGCAUCGGAGCGUGUCGAGAACACUCCGCUCCUUCUCCCACUCCAGCCACUUCUCACUUCCUUUCCUGGGCACCAGAACACUAUUCCCCUUCAACACUAUCCCCUUUCCCUUUUACCCUCACUUCUGGUCCCA